rnacentral:rRNA from 1 species
AGAAGGGGAUAACACUUGGAAACAGGUGCUAAUACCGUAUAACAAUCGAAACCGCAUGGUUUUGAUUUGAAAGGCGCUUUCGGGUGUCGCUGAUGGAUGGACCCGCGGUGCAUUAGCUAGUUGGUGAGGUAACGGCUCACCAAGGCCACGAUGCAUAGCCGACCUGAGAGGGUGAUCGGCCACAUUGGGACUGAGACACGGCCCAAACUCCUACGGGAGGCAGCAGUAGGGAAUCUUCGGCAAUGGACGAAAGUCUGACCGAGCAACGCCGCGUGAGUGAAGAAGGUUUUCGGAUCGUAAAACUCUGUUGUUAGAGAAGAACAAGGAUGAGAGUAACUGUUCAUCCCUUGACGGUAUCUAACCAGAAAGCCACGGCUAACUACGUGCCAGCAGCCGCGGUAAUACGUAGGUGGCAAGCGUUGUCCGGAUUUAUUGGGCGUAAAGCGAGCGCAGGCGGUUUCUUAAGUCUGAUGUGAAAGCCCCCCGGCUCAACCGGGGAGGGUCAUUGGAAACUGGGAGACUUGAGUGCAGAAGAGGAGAGUGGAAUUCCAUGUGUAGCGGUGAAAUGCGUAGAUAUAUGGAGGAACACCAGUGGCGAAGGCGGCUCUCUGGUCUGUAACUGACGCUGAGGCUCGAAAGCGUGGGGAGCAAACAGGAUUAGAUACCCUGGUAGUCCACGCCGUAAACGAUGAGUGCUAAGUGUUGGAGGGUUUCCGCCCUUCAGUGCUGCAGCUAACGCAUUAAGCACUCCGCCUGGGGAGUACGACCGCAAGGUUGAAACUCAAAGGAAUUGACGGGGGCCCGCACAAGCGGUGGAGCAUGUGGUUUAAUUCGAAGCAACGCGAAGAACCUUACCAGGUCUUGACAUCCUUUGACCACUCUAGAGAUAGAGCUUCCCCUUCGGGGGCAAAGUGACAGGUGGUGCAUGGUUGUCGUCAGCUCGUGUCGUGAGAUGUUGGGUUAAGUCCCGCAACGAGCGCAACCCUUAUUGUUAGUUGCCAUCAUUCAGUUGGGCACUCUAGCAAGACUGCCGGUGACAAACCGGAGGAAGGUGGGGAUGACGUCAAAUCAUCAUGCCCCUUAUGACCUGGGCUACACACGUGCUACAAUGGGAAGUACAACGAGUUGCGAAGUCGCGAGGCUAAGCUAAUCUCUUAAAGCUUCUCUCAGUUCGGAUUGCAGGCUGCAACUCGCCUGCAUGAAGCCGGAAUCGCUAGUAAUCGCGGAUCAGCACGCCG